ACAAUUUCUCCAUUAUUUUUCUCUGCUCCAAAAGGUUCCCUGUGACUAUGCAAGAUGAUGCAGCUUCAUGGAGAUGUGCUGGGCGCCCCUGAGUCCUUGCAGCUAAAAAUAGCAAAAGCCAGCCUGCCUUAGUUUCUAUAGAGACAACCCGCUGUCACGCUCAGAGUUGGGUUAGCCCAUCAGUCAGAGUAUCUCAUGCGGCCACCACAAUGAAGGGCCGUUGCCCAGACCGUUUGCAGGAUGGAAGCCGGCUGCAGCUCGAAGGCUUGCUGAGCCCUUUGUUAAUGAGGGCUUUGGACUAAUUUCCUAAUAAAAUGAACACUGUUGCUAUUGUUCGUCACAACGGGAUAGCCUGUGCACUGUUAAUUGUGUGUGUGUGGAAGGGGGAAGGGACACUGCCAGAGAAAUCUGGAAAGAUGAAAAAGGUUAAAAUUACCAUACUGUUUUGCUGUGUGCUUCAGUGGCAGAUGGGCAGAAGUUGCACAUCUUGCGGCUGCC